rnacentral:rRNA from 1 species
GACGAACGCUGGCGGCGUGCUUAACACAUGCAAGUCGAACGGUGAAAGCGGAGCUUGCUCCGCUGGAUCAGUGGCGAACGGGUGAGUAACACGUGGGCAACCUGCCCCUCACUUCGGGAGAACUCCGGGAAACCGGGGCUAAUACCGGAUAUGACCUCCUUGGGCAUCCCUGGAGGUGGAAAGUUUUUCGGUGAGGGAUGGGCCCGCGGCCUCUCAGCUUGUUGGUGAGGUAGUGGCUCACCAAGGCGACGACGGUUAGCCGGCCUGAGAGGGCGACCGGCCACACUGGGACUGAGACACGGCCCAGGCUCCUACGGGAGGCAGCAGUGGGGAAUAUUGCGCAAUGGGCGGAAGCCUGACGCAGCAACGCCGCGUGCGGGAUGACGGCCUUCGGGUUGUAAACCGCUUUCAGCAGGGAAGAAGCCGCAAGGUGACGGUACCUGCAGAAGAAGCACCGGCUAACUACGUGCCAGCCGCCGCGGUAAAAC